GACCAUGAAGCUGGUGCAGCUGCUCCUGGGUCAGCACCAGCCGGUGUCGCUGUCCAAGGCCAGCUGCGCACGAGAAGGUCACUUUGCCCAUGUAGACAGUGUCGUCCUGCUGCUCCUCCUUGGCCUGGGAGUUGGCAAGGGGAAGAGCACAGGUCUGAACUC